rnacentral:rRNA from 1 species
AGAGUUUGAUCCUGGCUCAGGAUGAACGCUAGCGACAGGCCUAACACAUGCAAGUCGAGGGGCAGCGAAGAGGUAGCAAUACCUUUGUCGGCGACCGGCGCACGGGUGAGUAACACGUAUGCAAUCCACCUGUAACAGGGGGAUAACCCGGAGAAAUCCGGACUAAUACCCCAUAAUAUGGGCGCUCCGCAUGGAGAGCCCAUUAAAGAGAGCAAUUUUGGUUACAGACGAGCAUGCGCUCCAUUAGCCAGUUGGCGGGGUAACGGCCCACCAAAGCGACGAUGGAUAGGGGUUCUGAGAGGAAGGUCCCCCACAUUGGAACUGAGACACGGUCCAAACUCCUACGGGAGGCAGCAGUGAGGAAUAUUGGUCAAUGGUCGGCAGACUGAACCAGCCAAGUCGCGUGAGGGAAGACGGCCCUACGGGUUGUAAACCUCUUUUGUCGGAGAGUAAAGUACGCUACGUGUAGUGUAUUGCAAGUAUCCGAAGAAAAAGCAUCGGCUAACUCCGUGCCAGCAGCCGCGGUAAUACGGAGGAUGCAAGCGUUAUCCGGAUUUAUUGGGUUUAAAGGGUGCGUAGGCGGCACGCCAAGUCAGCGGUGAAAUUUCCGGGCUCAACCCGGAGUGUGCCGUUGAAACUGGCGAGCUAGAGUACACAAGAGGCAGGCGGAAUGCGUGGUGUAGCGGUGAAAUGCAUAGAUAUCACGCAGAACCCCGAUUGCGAAGGCAGCCUGCUAGGGUGAAACAGACGCUGAGGCACGAAAGCGUGGGUAUCGAACAGGAUUAGAUACCCUGGUAGUCCACGCAGUAAACGAUGAAUACUAACUGUUUGCGAUACAAUGUAAGCGGUACAGCGAAAGCGUUAAGUAUUCCACCUGGGGAGUACGCCGGCAACGGUGAAACUCAAAGGAAUUGACGGGGGC